rnacentral:pre_miRNA from 1 species
UUAACUCAAAUUUGUAUGCACUUGGAACGUUUGCCUGCGUUAGCCACUAGGGGCGCUGUUCCAACUGCGUAAAAAAUACAAUA